rnacentral:rRNA from 1 species
AGCAGCAGCCACGGUAAUACAGAGGGUGCGAGCGUUAAUCGGAUUUACUGGGCGUAAAGCGUGCGUAGGCGGCUUUUUAAGUCGGAUGUGAAAUCCCUGAGCUUAACUUAGGAAUUGCAUUCGAUACUGGGAAGCUAGAGUAUGGGAGAGGAUGGUAGAAUUCCAGGUGUAGCGGUGAAAUGCGUAGAGAUCUGGAGGAAUACCGAUGGCGAAGGCAGCCAUCUGGCCUAAUACUGACGCUGAGGUACGAAAGCAUGGGGAGCAAACAGGAUUAGAGACCCGAGUAGUCCCUGUCUCUUAUAC